rnacentral:rRNA from 1 species
UACAGAGGUGGCAAGCGUUGUUCGGAAUUACUGGGCGUAAAGGGCGCGUAGGUGGCCUUUUGAGUCAGACGUGAAAUCCCCCGGCUUAACCUGGGAACUGCGUCUGAUACUGGACGGCUUGAGUAUGGGAGAGGGAUGUAGAAUUCCAGGUGUAGCGGUGAAAUGCGUAGAUAUCUGGAGGAAUACCGGUGGCGAAGGCGGCAUCCUGGACCAUUACUGACGCUGAGGCGCGAAAGCUAGGGGAGCAAACGGG